rnacentral:rRNA from 1 species
ACGCUCGACACCUACGGGAGACAGCAGUAGGGAAUCUUCCACAAUGGGGGAAACCCUGAUGCAGCGACGCCGCGUGGAGGAAGAAGGUCUUCGGAUUGUAAACUCCUGUUGUUGGGGAAAAAGAGGAUGGUACCCAACAAGGAAGUGACGGCUAACUACGUGCCAGCAGCCGCGGUAAUCUGAGCGGGCUGGACAAGGC